rnacentral:rRNA from 1 species
GAUGAACGCUGGCGGCGUGCUUAACACAUGCAAGUCGAACGGAAAGGCCCAAGCUUGCUUGGGUACUCGAGUGGCGAACGGGUGAGUAACACGUGGGUGAUCUGCCCUGCACUUCGGGAUAAGCCUGGGAAACUGGGUCUAAUACCGGAUAGGACCACUUCUUGGAUGUUGUGGUGGAAAGUUUUUUCGGUGUGGGAUGAGCUCGCGGCCUAUCAGCUUGUUGGUGGGGUAAUGGCCUACCAAGGCGUCGACGGGUAGCCGGCCUGAGAGGGUGUACGGCCACAUUGGGACUGAGGUACGGCCCAGGCUCCUACGGGAGGCAGCAGUGGGGAAUAUUGCACAAUGGGCGCAAGCCUGAUGCAGCGACGCCGCGGGGGGGAUGACGGCCUUCGGGUUGUAAAAUCCUUUCGCUAGGGACGAAGCGUUUUGUGACGGUACCUGGAGAAGAAGCACCGGCUAACUACGUG